UCUGCAGCCCGACUUGAGUGGAGCUCAUUUUUUUUCGAAGGGAAAGCAAAGGCAAAAAAAUAGCGGGAACGGAAGGCGGAAUUGUCU
rnacentral:misc_RNA from 1 species